GGAAUCUUCGGCAAUGGACGAAAGUCUGACCGAGCAACGCCGCGUGAGUGAAGAAGGUUUUCGGAUCGUAAAACUCUGUUGGUAGAGAAGAACGUUGGUGAGAGUGGAAAGCUCAUCAAGUGACGGUAACUACCCAGAAAGGGACGGCUAACUACGUGCCAC
rnacentral:rRNA from 1 species